AGCGAACGCUGGCGGCAGGCCUAACACAUGCAAGUCGAACGAACCCUUCGGGGUUAGUGGCGGACGGGUGAGUAACACGUGGGAACGUGCCUUUAGGUUCGGAAUAACUCAGGGAAACUUGUGCUAAUACCGAAUGUGCCCUUCGGGGGAAAGAUUUAUCGCCUUUAGAGCGGCCCGCGUCUGAUUAGCUAGUUGGGGAGGUAAUGGCUCACCAAGGCUACGAUCAGUAGCUGGGCUGAGAGGAUGACCAGCCACAUUGGGACUGAGACACGGCCCAAACUCCUACGGGAGGCAGCAGUGGGGAAUCUUGCGCAAUGGGCGAAAGCCUGACGCAGCCAUGCCGCGUGGAUGAUGAAGGUCUUAGGAUUGUAAAAUCCUUUCACUGGUGAAGAUAAUGACUGUAGCCGGAGAAGAAGCCCCGGCUAACUUCGUGCCAGCCGCCGCGGUAAAAC
rnacentral:rRNA from 1 species